UACGGGGGGGGCGAGCGUUGUUCGGAAUUACUGGGCGUAAAGGGCUCGUAGGCGGCCAACUAAGUCAGACGUGAAAUCCCUCGGCUUAACCGGGGAACUGCAUCUGAUACUGGAUGGCUUGAGUUCGGGAGAGGGAUGCGGAAUUCCAGGUGUAGCGGUGAAAUGCGUAGAUAUCUGGAGGAACACCAAUUGCGAAGGCAGCUCGCUGGGACGUCACUGACGCUGAGACGCGAAAGCGUGGGGAGCAAACAGG
rnacentral:rRNA from 1 species